rnacentral:tRNA from 1 species
AAGGGUAUAGCUCAGGGGUAGAGUGCGUGCCUAGCAUGCACAAGGUCCUAGGUUUAAACCCCAGCACCUCCA